UGGCAACCAAAUUAAAUUUGU
rnacentral:piRNA from 1 species